rnacentral:rRNA from 1 species
AAUCCAUAGGUUAAUGAGGCGAACCGGGGGAACUGAAACAUCUAAGUACCCCGAGGAAAAGAAAUCAACCGAGAUUCCCCCAGUAGCGGCGAGCGAACGGGGAGGAGCCCAGAGCCUGAAUCAGCAUGUGUGUUAGUGGAAGCGUCUGGAAAGGCGCGCGAUACAGGGUGACAGCCCCGUACACAAAAGCGCAUGUGCUGUGAGCUCGAUGAGUAGGGCGGGACACGUGGUAUCCUGUCUGAAUAUGGGGGGACCAUCCUCCAAGGCUAAAUACUCCUGACUGACCGAUAGUGAACCAGUACCGUGAGGGAAAGGCGAAAAGAACCCCGGCGAGGGGAGUGAAAAAGAACCUGAAACCGUGUACGUACAAGCAGUGGGAGCACCCUUCGGGGUGUGACUGCGUACCUUUUGUAUAAUGGGUCAGCGACUUAUAUUCUGUAGCAAGGUUAACCGUAUAGGGGAGCCGUAGGGAAACC